rnacentral:rRNA from 1 species
AACGAACGCUGGCGGCGCGUCUUAAGCAUGCAAGUCGGGCGGGAACAGGGUGCUUGCACCCUGCGAGAGCGGCGGACUGGUGAGUAACGCGUGGGUGAUGCACCCUGAAGACGGGGAUAGCCUGUGGAAACACAGGGUAAUACCGGAUGAGCUCCCCCUUAUUGGAAGAGGGGGAGGAAAGGAGCCACGGCUCCGCUUCAGGAACGGCCCGCGGCCCAUCAGCUUGUUGGCGGUGUAACGGACCACCAAGGCAAUGACGGGUACCCGGCCUCAGAGGGCAACCGGGCACAUUGGGACUGAGAUACGGCCCAGACUCC